GACGAACGCUGGCGGCGUGCUUAACACAUGCCAGUCGAACGGAAAGGCCCUGCUUGCAGGGUACUCGAGUGGCGAACGGGUGAGUAACACGUGGGUGAUCUGCCCUGCACUUCGGGAUAAGCCUGGGAAACUGGGUCUAAUACCGGAUAGGAGCUAUUUUUAGUGUGAUGGUUGGAAAGUUUUUUCGGUGUAGGAUGAGCUCGCGGCCUAUCAGCUUGUUGGUGGGGUAAUGGCCUACCAAGGCGGCGACGGGUAGCCGGCCUGAGAGGGUGGACGGCCACAUUGGGACUGAGAUACGGCCCAGACUCCUACGGGAGGCAGCAGUGGGGAAUAUUGCACAAUGGGCGCAAGCCUGAUGCAGCGACGCCGCGUGGGGGAUGACGGCCUUCGGGUUGGAAACUCCUUUCGCUAGGGACGAAGCUUUUUGUGACGGUACCUAGAUAAGAAGCACCGGCUAACUACGUG
rnacentral:rRNA from 1 species